ensembl:lncRNA
AGCGAAUACAGAAACUGCGAGUGUGGCGAAAACCCCGCAGGCCAGCGUCAGCUGAACAGAGCUGUGUGUGAAGUCUCUCCACGCUCGCAUCAGCUCCAUCCUCCACAGGACUAAUGAACAUGGAGUCACGUCCCCCUCCUCACCUGCAUCUACAGGAGGAAGAGGAUCAUGAGGAGAGAGCAGAUUCAUGCAGGAGGAGAAUGGCGUAGUCGUACAUGGCGGUGGGAUCGACCAUCUGCAGGGCGCUUCUGGCAUACCACAUGACUGCUGCUCGAAUAUCUUUCUCCACCCCGUUACUGCCCCAUAGAAGCAUCCUGCCCAGAGAUUUCUACAAGAAAUACCAGCCCACAACAACGGUCCACUGGGACGCCCAGGCCAGCCAGGUGCAGGGUAGCGAGCAGGAGAGAGGAGUGCUGGUGACCCCAGCAGAAGGACACCUGAAGCUGCUUAAUAACACUGGACAUGAGAUCCAGACCACCAUCAGAUUCCUCUGCUUUAGAUAUUGUCUUUACAGCAUCCUGGAAAAUCACUCGGCCUAGACGUAGCAAAUGUCUGCUGCUGUUGCCAAGACCUGAAGAACAAAGCAGGAGGAACCUAUCCACCAGAAGUCAUCAUAGAUCACAUUUUAGAUGAUGAUAUUAAACCACUGCUACCUUUUAUGAGCUCCUGAUGCUCUUCUAGAAGCCUCAGGGUGAGGUUGAAUCUUCUUUGCAGGUCCCACGACCAAGUUUGAGUGCAUUUCCUAUGACCAAACUUCCUCUUAAGGCCUCCAUAAUAAGACUCACAAACAUCUGAGCACCAAAAACACAAAGUAUUUAGGAACUGUUCACCCAAAAAUAAUGUUUUGUUUACCUGUUUAAUCGUUUACAUACUGUACAUCUGUUGUCCCUGUAAUUUGAAGGGCCAAAACUCUCAAAUCUUGGUGCUUAGCACAUUUAAAUGGGGUGUACCAGGUUUGUUGCAAUUGAUACCAACUUCAAUCCAAUCACAAUAAAGUAUGUUUGAAAAAUA